AACACAUUUGUGCAAAGAAAAAAAAAAACAUUGAGGGUUAGUUUUACGAAAAGAAAGGGAAUUUCGUCGCUGAUAGUUCUGAUUCCUUUUCUAACGUGCUCCGCUUUUGUGGAGGCUCAAGGAAUAUUCUUUUCCAUUGCUCUCCUUUCAUCGUCUCCCAGGUUCUUCUUUCUUGUAAGCAUUCUUUGUCUGCUGAAUUUGUUUAUGUUCUUCCACUCCCGCUUUCUUCUAGGUUCUGUGCUUACUAAUUCCGUUUUCUCAAUCGUUUUUGUUCGAUAACUUACUUCCAGAUCUGUUUUGGUUGUUUCUAGUUUCUGAUGGAUUUAACAAUUGGAAGCUGAUUAUCUGUUAUGUUUAAACAAUGAGAUUUAAGCUAAUGAGUGAGCUGCGCUAUAUUUUAAGUUAGUGAGAUUUAAGCUAGUUACGGAUACCCGUAAGAGGACGGGAUUGAAGGAGCAAAUGAUCCCAUUUUCUGAAUUCGAGGACAAGCUGUGAAUGCUUCUCAAUAGUGAUUGAAAAAGGUAUGAGCUUCCAUAAUUAAUCCAAAGAUUCGAUCUUGAGAGAGUAGAAUACGACAUGUCGGUCUUCUCAAGCCAUCCACUUGACGUCGUUUUCUUUGGAACGCGGUCGACAUCGGACUUCAUUUAUAAGCCGGAAAGUCAAGGUGUACAACCAAUGAAACGACAUGUUAUUUUGCUUAUGGGUUUUUCUUUAAUAGUAAUAAACAACUACAUUAGUGUGUUUUUAUUGAAUUAUUUGUCAGAUAAAAACUCUAUUUUUCAA